rnacentral:lncRNA from 1 species
CCAUAUCAAUCUGACAAGUGAUAAAGACAGUUGCCUACCAGGAGGAGUCAUGAAAAAAAGAACGUGACUAACAAUUUAGCCAGGUUUCUCCAUAUCUAUAGUACCAGUCCUACAAUGAAAUGGAGCAGAGGCUAUGAUCUUGUUGAUCUAUAAAAAAAAACUUCAAUAAUACAUGGUUUCACUAAAAUUAGGGUGCGCAUGUACAGAAGACAACACAAUCCAAUAUUUCAACAACUAUAUGGCACUUCUCAUUCAGCAUUCUGUGAACGCUCAACUCUGGCCUCAGUAUAAUAGUGUAAUACGCUCUGAUUUGCUGUCAACAACAAAGAUGAGGCCCUGAGUGUUCUAGAAGUAGUGCCUCCACGACCACCAAGGUCUUAUCUGUUGGAAAAAUGGCGACGGCGAUGGAGUGCGGAGGAGGAGGGCGCGCGGCGGGCGGUGGUGGAGGAGUGGAUCGCGGCGGCGAGUUUACAGCGGGUCGGGGUCCCGGCGGCAGCGGCGAAGGAGGGUGCGCGGCUGCGGGCGGCGUAGGAGGGUUUCGCAGCAGCGGCCCGCGCGAGGAGGCAGGGGAAGACGGCGCCAAGGUCGUUUUCUAUUUGGAAUUUAUUUUUAUCGGGAGGGUACGAGGGAUGUCACGUAAUUAGAGUUUACGGUGGGCCGUCUGAAUGUCUGAUGAAUGUUCGUAGAUCUCAUUUUCUUACCGGCUGUUAUUUUUUGAGAAACAGAGGCCGCAAUUUUCUGGUUAAAGCAAAUUCC